AUGCCUAUCAACAGAGUGGUGCCAAGAAUAACCGGUGCAUUCUUCUUGGCCACGCGAAACGCCACAGGAAGGACAGCGGAGAUCAGGAUGUUGUUGACAUGGCCCAGCACUCUCCUAAAGGCCGGGCGCUCCACCACACGCUCGUAGUAUGUCUCCAGGUUCACACGGUUACCGUUGCCCCAGAAGCGGCGGGAGAGGCCAAGGAACUUGAGGCGGUGUAAGGUGACUGCCAGAGAGACGUCAGCCAUGCUGAAGAAAUCCCCACACAGCCAGGACUGACUGCCUUCUUCUACGAGUGAAGAGAAAACAAGGACUCUGUCUCGACCUGGUCCAUCACACUUUCCAGUUCGUCCAGAAGCUUCUUCAGGAUGGUGAAGACAUGACCUGCCCUACUCUCCCUCUGAUUGGCUAGCACUGGGAAAAAAUACUCUCCUUCUGUAUCUGACUAGCUGGCUAGUUUAUGCUCUUGCCUUAGCUAUCUGCUAGCUGAUUCCAUCCUCAUUUGAUUUAGACCUAUUUUAUACAGUCUGUAUAAUAUAGUUUUACUGUAUAGUUGCUGCGAUUUCGCACUGUAGGGCAGAAUGGUUCUUAGAGGGUACAAGUGUCAAGGUCCAGUCAGUGUAAAUCACAAAAAACAGCAGGUUUGCUUACUUGGCACUCUACUAACUUGAAUAACUUACUUUCAAGCGCCUCUGUUUUGCUAUAUAAGCAUCUUUAAGCUCUGGGUUCUGCUCUGCCAGUUUCUUUAGCUCAGACUGUGUGUUUCCGAUCUGUGCUGUCACACAAAAACACAGCAUGAUGUUAGAGACAAUGAAUUAUACUGUGAUUGCCAUUAGUACAAAACUUUUGAUGUGAAAAUGAAUAAUUUCUUAUUAAAAAGUCUACUAUGAUAAUAUCA